rnacentral:rRNA from 1 species
GGAGUUAGCCGGUGCUUCUUCUGUGAGUGAUGUCCUUCCUGCCGGCUAUUAACCCGCAGGCCUUCUUCCUCACUGAAAGUGCUUUACAACCCGAAGGCCUUCUUCACACACGCGGCAUGGCUGGAUCAGGGUUGCCCCCAUUGUCCAAUAUUCCCCACUGCUGCCUCCCGUAGGAGUCUGGGCCGUGUCUCAGUCCCAGUGUGGAUGAUCAUCCUCUCAGACCAGCUACGGAUCGUCGCCUUGGUGAGCCGUUACCUCACCAACCAGCUAAUCCGACAUAGGCUCAUCCGAUAGCGCGAGGCCCGAAGGUCCCCCGCUUUCCCCCGUAGGGCGUAUGCGGUAUUAGCCUGGGUUUCCCCAGGUUAUCCCCCACUACCGGGCAGAUUCCUAUGCAUUACUCACCCGUCCGCCGCUCGCCACCAGGGAGCAAGCUCCCCGUGCUGCCGCUCGACUUGCAUGUGUUAGGCCUGCCGCCAGCGUUCAAUCUGAACCAAGAUCAAAUUCUGA